rnacentral:rRNA from 1 species
CCGCGGUAAUACAGAGGUCCCAAGCGUUGUUCGGAUUCACUGGGCGUAAAGGGUGCGUAGGCGGUCGGGUAAGUCUGACGUGAAAUCUUCGAGCCUAACUCGGAAACUGCGUCGGAUACUAUUCGGCUAGAGGAAUGGAGGGGAGACUGGAAUACUUGGUGUAGCAGUGAAAUGCGUAGAUAUCAAGUGGAACACCAGUGGCGAAGGCGAGUCUCUGGACAUUUCCUGACGCUGGGGCACGAAAGCCAGG